rnacentral:tRNA from 2 species
GCCCCGUUAGCUCAAUCGGAAGAGCGCCACCCUGUCACGGUGGAGGUAGCCGGAUCGAAACCGGUGCGGGGCGCCA